GAUGAACGCUGGCGGCGUGCCUAAUACAUGCAAGUCGAGCGAACAGAUAAGGAGCUUGCUCCUUUGACGUUAGCGGCGGACGGGUGAGUAACACGUGGGUAACCUACCUAUAAGACUGGGAUAACUUCGGGAAACCGGAGCUAAUACCGGAUAAUAUUUCGAACCGCAUGGUUCGAUAGUGAAAGAUGGUUUUGCUAUCACUUAUAGAUGGACCCGCGCCGUAUUAGCUAGUUGGUAAGGUAACGGCUUACCAAGGCGACGAUACGUAGCCGACCUGAGAGGGUGAUCGGCCACACUGGAACUGAGACACGGUCCAGACUCCUACGGGAGGCAGCAGUAGGGAAUCUUCCGCAAUGGGCGAAAGCCUGACGGAGCAACGCCGCGUGAGUGAUGAAGGUCUUCGGAUCGUAAAACUCUGUUAAUAGGGAAGAACAUACGUGUAAGUAACUGUGCACGUCUUGACGGUACCUAAUCAGAAAGCCACGGCUAACUACGUG
rnacentral:rRNA from 1 species